CUGAACUCGAUGGGCCAGUGGUCCGACUUGAUUCGAGUCAGUGUCCUAUGUUCCUGUCUUAAGAGUGCGAGGAUAUACAGUGGUACUUUGGGUUACAUACGCUUCAGGUUACAUAUGCUUCAGGUUGCAGACUCCGCUAAUGCAGAAAUAGUACCUCGGGUUAAGAACUUUGCUUCAGGAUGAGAAAAGAAAUUGCGUUCCGGUGAUGCGGCAGCAGCGGGAGGCCCUGCUAAAGUGGUGCUUCAGGUUAAGAACAGUUUCAGGUUAAGAACAGACCUCCAGAACAAAUUAAGUUCUUAACCCAAGGUACCACUGUACUCCAAAGCCACCAGCUUUGGGAAGUGGCAGGACACCCUCUGGCAUGUGGGUGUCAUUGCCAGCACAUCUCCCAGUUGGUGGGCUGUGGGGGUCUUUCCAGGGAUGUUUUGGGUUUGUGUGCUGUUGCUGCUUUUACUCCUGUUUUUGAUAAUUAUUAUUUUUCUCUUCCUUUCCUGGGCUGUGUAAGCCUAGAACUUGGUGGCUGUCCCCCUGAAAUCUGGGACUGUCCCUGGAAAAUAGGGAGGGUCUGCAAGGGGAGACCCCAACCCCUAGACAGGGGGCUUUGACUUCUAGGCAGCAGCCGACAGUGGCCCUUCUGCUUAGUCCGUCAUACAAGGCCUCUGCUUCUUCUCACAGGAAAUGAAUAAAAGUGUGGGAAGCUGUUGAAAGAGAAGUACAGUGGUACCUCGGGUUAAGUACUUAAUUCGUUCCGGAGGUCCGUUCUUAACCUGAAACUGUUCUUAACCUGAAGCACCACUUUAGCUAAUGGGGCCUCCUGCUGCCGCCGGAGCACGAUUUCUGUUCUCAUCCUGAAGCAAAGUUCUUCAAUAUUUCUGAGUCUGUAACCCGAAGUGUAUGUAACCCGAAGCGUAUGUAACCCGAAGCGUAUGUAACCCGAAGUACCGCUGUAUUACAGCUAACAGUGGGGGGGCAAGGGCAUGUUUUCAAAGGGAGGGGUUCCGUCUCAAGUAUUGCUGCCCCAUCAGGGCAAGGAAGGCGGGCCAAGCUCAUUUGAAACUUCCACUCAGGUAAACAGUAAGAGGACUCACUCCCUUGCCCUUAAGGAGGGUUUUGCUCAGGGAGCCGGCUUUAGGCAACGGGGGGACCCUCACUCCCCCUUCCUUUGAAUCAGGAAGCCCCCUCCCCCUUUCUUUACCAGGGACCCCAGCAAGGACCACCCCCACCACCCCAAUUCUCCUCCUUACCCAUUAUUUCAUGGCGAGACAUGGGCAGAGUCCCAGUGCCAACAUCCAGGAGAGUUUGGAGUCCCAACAGGGUCAGGUGUGCUGUGAGGAAGCACACACCCCCCAGGACUGCUGAAGAUGGAGCGAGAAGGAAUGCAGAAAGCUGUCGCGGAGGGAAGGAGGAGCGUGUCAGGCGGCAGGACAGGUUUGACGGCAGUGGAUUCCCCAGGCGCAAGAGGAGGCUUCGCUCUUGGCCAGGGCUCCGGAGCCAAAGGCUGGGAGGGCAGGAACAGGUUGCAGCAGAAAGGUUGCCGAGAUCCAGGAGAAUGGAAAAUAGGGUUGCUGUGUUUUCUGGAUGAGGAGGGCCCUGGGAAGCCAAGGAGCUGGUAGGACCGAGGUGAAACUGCAGCUCCCUUGUUGUUUUUGCUGUUGGGUGUUGAUGUAAUGGUG
rnacentral:lncRNA from 1 species